rnacentral:tRNA from 1 species
UUGAAUAAAAGUCAAAAAGAGACAAAUUAUUGUUAAUAAUUUAAAUGAGUAAUUUCUUAUUCA